rnacentral:tRNA from 1 species
AAGGGAGACCUAAUUCAGGUAGGAGACGAAAAAAAAGUAGUCGCUACCAAGAAUCAAUCCCAAAAGGUCGGAGCGAGGCGAAAUUGGCUUUCAAACUAGGUUCUGGGUUCACACAAGACCUGAAUCAGGAACAAGGGCUAUUAGCUCAGGUGGUUAGAGCGCACCCCUGAUAAGGGUGAGGUCCCUGGUUCGAGUCCAGGAUGGCCCACCUGUACAGGUGGCAAAAAGAAAGAAAAGAAGCGAGGAAUCAGCACCUUAUCUUACUGACAUAGUAAGAGAGAAUGCUGGCUCUGAGUAAAGAGUCCAGAGGAACCUUGAAAACUGCAUAGAGCUAGGUGAAAAAGCCAAAAAGGAAGACCGCAA